GACGAACGCUGGCGGCGUGCCUAAUACAUGCCAGUAGAACGCUGAAGGAGGAGCUUGCUUCUCCGGAUGAGUUGCGAACGGGUGAGUAACGCGUAGGUAACCUGCCUGGUAGCGGGGGAUAACUAUUGGAAACGAUAGCUAAUACCGCAUAAGAGUAGAUGUUGCAUGACAUUUGCUUAAAAGGUGCAAUUGCAUCACUACCAGAUGGACCUGCGUUGUAUUAGCUAGUUGGUGAGGUAACGGCUCACCAAGGCGACGAUACAUAGCCGACCUGAGAGGGUGAUCGGCCACACUGGGACUGAGACACGGCCCAGACUCCUACGGGAGGCAGCAGUAGGGAAUCUUCGGCAAUGGACGGAAGUCUGACCGAGCAACGCCGCGUGAGUGAAGAAGGGUUUCGGAUCGUAAAGCUCUGUUGUAAGAGAAGAACGAGUGUGAGAGUGGAAAGUUCACACUGUGACGGUAUCUUACCAGAAAGGGACGGCUAACUACGUG
rnacentral:rRNA from 1 species